UUAAAUACCACUCACUGAUGAUUUUGUGAUAUCAGGAGGCCUGAUUUCGUCAAUACCAGAAGAUAAAGCAGUGGCCAUCUUAUCUGCGGCUGCAGUCGAUCUGUGGAAUGUUGUACGGCUCAAGUCCGACGUAGCGACAUUCCUCCGUCGUGCGCCCCAGACUUAGAGUUCGACACGCGAAGUACGAAUAGCCGUGAACCGUUUCUCGUCGACACAUCACCAUGACAUCACCAUGAUGAUGUCAUGUGAAGACUUAUCUUACCUGCAACAAUGAAAUCGUUGAAUCUGUCAUC
rnacentral:lncRNA from 1 species